ensembl:lncRNA
ACUGUUUAUCAAUUCAUCCGUGGCAUUAGAUGUUCAGCCAGGCUGUUCAUGCUCACUGUUGCUUCAUUCUCCAUGAUAUAUACUCACCAUAUGCUGCCUACCUAAUCUGCAUUGACGGAUUUCCGGAUUGCCGCCAACUUCCUGUCACCACAAACAACACUAUAAUGAACAUCUUCAAAGACAUCUCCUUAUGGAUCUGGGUAACUGACAUUUCACUGGACACUUCUUAUCCCUGUUACCACCAUCACCACAAAGCAAUCUUCAGAGUUAUGAUUUAGAACUCAGGAGCUGCUAGACCUGUGCACUGGACAGCUCAAGAAUUCCAUACUUCAGCCCUCGAGUUGGAACCCUGAUGCUUCCAGCUGGAAAUGAGAAAAACUUUGUCAUCUAAAGAUGAACCCCCAAUAAAUAAAAUCUCUGAUCUCUGCUUAGAAUACUCCUGUCAGAAACCUCUAAAGUCAGGAUCUCCAGAAACAGCCUGAUCCUGGAUUCUAACUCAUUCAAGUCUCUUCCUUAACAUUUUUCUGAAAAUUUGGAGCACAGGGAUGCUCCUGUCCAGAGUGUGGACAGGUGGAGUGAGAUACUUGGCAGGUAAAGCAUUUGCCUCCUCCUUCACAUAUAGGUCUCUGCUUUGUUUUUGCCUUAUCCUUCCAAUUUGAGCUGAGUUGUUUUCUUCAUAGGCUCUAAGACCAGGUUUGAUAUCUAAUUAUUUUUUAAAAUCUUCUCCUUAACUCAAUGAUUUCGUGACUGUUCUUCUGGUUAAAACCUCCAGUUUAAUUCAUCUCAGAUGAAUCUUUCUGUAUGGUCUCUCCUUAUGGUCAUCUCUCAUCCCUCUCUCCCAUCCUUAUAAAGGGGAUGCAGCCGCUCAGCAGUCGUGAGUCUUCCAUGCUGACAGCUACCCUUUCUCUCUGGUUUUCCUGAGUUGCAGGGAUUGCACACCCAUUGGGGCUGUGAGACUUCUCAGAACCAGCUUCUACACAGAAAUUGUUUCUAAAUCUUCCAGCCCAUGAAGCUGCAUGUCAAGUUAUGCACUCUUAAAAUGUUCCUCACUGACUAGGGUCUAUCUCCCAGCUCUUCCCCCAGUACUUUCCAACCCUACCACUCCCCUCGAACUCAACCUACCAGCAUCAUUGCCUGCUUCAAACUGUGAGUGGGUAAGUGAGAGCAGAAAUUUCUGCAUCAGAAUCCAUAAGCUGAAGUGAAUGGGAGAGGGACUUGAAUACAGCCUAUUAACACUUCAAGGAGAGUUAAUUAAAACCUGAGGAACCAGAGAUACCAGAGAGUCCUAGCAUAUCUCAAUAAGGCCAACUUCGGCCAUGUGCAGUGGCUCACGCCUGUAAUCCCAGCACUUUGGGAGGCUGAGGCGGGUGGAUCACGAGGUCAAGAGAUCAAGACUAUCCUGGUCAACAUGGUGAAACCCCGUCUCUACUAAAAAUACAAAAAAUUAGCUGGGCACGGUGGCAUGUGCCUGUAAUCCCAGCUACUAAGGAGGCUGAGGCAGGAGAAUUGCCUGAACCCAGGAGGCAGAGGUUGCGGUGAGCCGAGAUUGCGCCACUGCACUCCAGCCUGGGUAACAGGAGCGAAACUCCGUCUCAAAAAAAAAAACCGCCAACUUGGCAGUUUUUAUUAGUGCCACAAUUGUACUGAUGAAGGAAGUGAGUGGAGAGGUGCAAAGAAAACAAAAAGAACAGAGAAGAUGGUGGGGAGGACGGAAGGCUAGCUUUUGCUGACUUCUUAGACUGUUGAGUUGAAAAUCAGGAGUUCUGAGAAAGGUUAGUCAUGCCUCUCCAGCUUUGCCCAUCGCUGGACUUCUGGGUUGCCAUUGCCAAAUAUUUGAAAACUUUUGAGAGAUUAUUUUUUGUGGAAAUAUGACCACAAGAUUCAGGGAAAUAGACAAGUUUCUCAGAAGCUGGACUCCAAGAAUGGGUUCAGCGUGAGUAUAAAGGAAUAUUUUAAACAAAUCUAGUACUAAGACUGUGGCUAUAUUCAAAAGUGAUUAAAAGGAUUUGAGGAUUAGUGAGAAAGAUACUAAGUGGUGUCAAAAUGUUUAUUUUAAAGAUGAGACAAAGAAAUUAAGCAUCUGACGUGUUGAUAGAAGAAGGCUAGCCUGUUUUAAUAAAACCAUGUUCCUUCUCCUUUUGCUUUUUCUCCCUCUUUUUAUUUUCAUUUUACUUAUGUAUGUGCAUGAUAAUCCACUCCCAUUAGCCUUACUCACAGCAGUGGACCCAAUCAGACUCAACCAUGAGUCUAAGAUUCUAUUCAAUUCACUACUUGGUGUCAGUACAGUCCAAAGUGUCACUUCCUGGGGUGAUGGCCGAAGGUCCUGAAAAACUAUACAAACUUACAAAAAUAACGCACCACCUGCAUUUCACAUCCUCAUUUUCUUCUUGUCCAUCUGUGCUUUACCUUGUACCCCUCUUCCCUUGACAACCAGAACCUCUGCAUUAGCAUGAAGUGAGCACAUUCAUAAGCUGAUCAUUUUCCUCGAGUUCUCUCAUCUCCAGCCCAUGAUGUGUUACUGUUGUAUAAGAUUUCACUCCAGAAUGCCCUUUGGGCCUGGCAUUCCUAGACGUCAAAGAUCCUAUCCCUACUUGAUUUCAAAACUGGUAGUAUUCCAGAAGUAAAUUAAAUAAAAUUCCUAAGGUAACUUUUUGUUAUCUGUGAAUUAGUGGCUUUCUAAAUUUAAGACUAAGCCCCGAAAAGAACAAAUACAGAGGGAGAGGGAGUACAAGAAGGGGACACAGAAAAAGCAAGCAAACAUCUAAGGGUGUUCAGGGAUCUCUGUAACAUUCAGACCCAGAAUGGUAGAACUUGGAAGGAUCUUAGAAGACAUGGUUCAGUUAUUGUCAGUUUCACAAGUUGUAGCUAGGUGAGCUUGGACAUACCAUUUACACUCUCCAAGCUUCAUUCAGUGACAGAGCCAGUUUUGGGAACCAGAUAUUCUGAUACUUUUCUUCCACAAAGUCUUUCUAAUUACAUAACCUAAAAGUGUGCUCACUCUUUAGUGUAAAUGGAGAAAAACACACUUUGUGUCCAUCAGGGAUGAGCAGGUACCCCUUAUUGAAAGUGUUUUUGCCAGAUGUGGUUGCUCAUGCCUGCAAUCCCAGUAACUGACUCAGAGGCUUAGGCAGAAGGAUCUCUUGAGGCCAAGAAGAGUUCAGGAAGAGCCUGGGCAAUAUAGAAAGACCUAAGAUUUAAAAUUGACAAACCAGUAAACAAUAGUCAGGUGUGGUGGUGUGCCCCUGGAGUUGCAACUUCUUGGGAGGCUAAGGCAGGAGGACUGCUUGAGCCCAAGGGUUCGAGGCUGCGGUGAGCUAUAAUUGUCACUGUACUCCAGCCCAGGUGAUAAAGCAAAAUCCCAAUCUCUAAAACUAAAGAUAAAUAAAUAAAUAAGUGUCCUCAGCACUCACAGUUGCAGCUGUGAAUGGUCAGAUCAGCUCCAGACUAAAGUAAUAAUACGGAGGCCACCAUCAGCUCUGAAACCACCAAGGAGCAGCAAACCUUUUAGGAGGGAUCAACACUGACCAUCAGUUUUCCUUUUCUAGAUAACUAUUUUCUCUCACAAGCUCUCUUCC